rnacentral:rRNA from 1 species
UACGUAGGCAGCGAGCGUUGUUCGGAGUUACUGGGCGUAAAGAGCUCGUAGGCGGCUUGGUAAGUCGGAUGUGAAACCUCCAGGCUCAACCUGGAGUCGCCAUCCGAUACUGCCAUGGCUAGAGUCCGGUAGGGGCCCACGGAAUUCCUGGUGUAGCGGUGAAAUGCGCAGAUAUCAGGAGGAACACCGAUGGCGAAGGCAGUGGGCUGGGCCGGCACUGACGCUGAGGAGCGAAAGCGUGGGGAGCGAACAGG